GCGAGUGAGUCAAACAAUCUCAACUAACCUUUUGAAUCCAGCUUUCUAUGUGAUCUGUAGAAUUCUUCAUCUGCAAUCAUAUUAAUUUACAUCUAUC